rnacentral:rRNA from 1 species
UACGAAGGGGGCUAGCGUUAAUCGGAAUUACUGGGCGUAAAGCGUGCGCAGGCGGUUAUGUAAGACAGAUGUGAAAUCCCCGGGCUCAACCUGGGAACUGCAUUUGUGACUGCAUAGCUAGAGUACGGUAGAGGGGGAUGGAAUUCCUGGUGUAGCGGUGAAAUGCGCAGAUAUCAGGAAGAACACCCGUGGCGAAGGCGGUUCUCUGGAACGCAACUGACGCUGAGACGCGAAAGCGUGGGGAGCAAACGGG